rnacentral:rRNA from 1 species
AUAAAAAACCAAUGCCCUUCGGGGCUCCUUGGUGAUUCAUAAUAACUUCUCGAAUCGCACGGCCUUGCGCCGGCGAUGGUUCAUUCAAAUUUCUGCUCUAUCAACUUUCGACGGCUGGGUCUUGGCCAGCCGUGGUGA